rnacentral:rRNA from 1 species
CAGCAGCCACGGUAAUACGAAGGGGGCUAGCGUUGCUCGGAAUGACUGGGCGUAAAGGGCGCGUAGGCGGCGAUCAAAGUCAGGCGUGAAAUUCCUGGGCUCAACCUGGGGGCUGCGUUUGAUACUUGAUUGCUAGAGUGGGGAGGAGGGUCGUGGAAUUCCCAGUGUAGAGGUGAAAUUCGUAGAUAUUGGGAAGAACACCGGUGGCGAAGGCGGCGGCCUGGUCCUUGACUGACGCUGAGGCGCGAAAGCGUGGGGAGCAAACAGGAUUAGAUACCCCAGUAGUCCCUGUCUCUUAUAC